UACAGAGGUGGCAAGCGUUGUUCGGAAUUACUGGGCGUAAAGGGCGCGUAGGCGGCCUUCUAAGUCGGACGUGAAAGCCCUCGGCUUAACCGAGGAACUGCGUCCGAUACUGGAUGGCUUGAGGUUGGGAGAGGGAUGCGGAAUUCCAGGUGUAGCGGUGAAAUGCGCAGAUAUCAGGAGGAACACCAAUUGCGAAGGCAGCUCGCUGGGACGUUACUGACGCUGAGACGCGAAAGCGUGGGGAGCAAACAGG
rnacentral:rRNA from 1 species